GACGAACGCUGGCGGCGUGCCUAACACAUGCAAGUCGAGCGGGGUUGAAGCGAGGGGUAACUCGAGUUUCUACCUAGCGGCGGACGGGUGAGUAACGCGUGGGCAACCUGCCUCAAGGACUGGGAUAACAGCUCGAAAGGGCUGCUAAUACCGGAUAUGCCUGUGGCCUCGCAUGGGGCUAUGAGCAAAGGGGAAACCCGCCUUGAGAUGGGCCCGCGUCCCAUCAGCUAGUUGGUGAGGUGAAGGCUCACCAAGGCGACGACGGGUAGCCGGCCUGAGAGGGUGACCGGCCACACUGGGACUGAGACACGGCCCAGACUCCUACGGGGGCAGCAGUGGGGAAUCUUGCACAAUGGGCGAAAGCCUGAUGCAGCGACGCCGCGUGAGCGAAGAAGGCCUUCGGGUGUAAAGCUCUGUCUGGAGGGACGAAGGAGUGACGGUACCUCCGGAGGAAGCCACGGCUAACACGUG
rnacentral:rRNA from 1 species